GCCCAACAAGCAAUUGAAAGAGUCAGAUGCAGAUACUAGCACCCAAACAGUGGAAAGAAGAUGGGGAUCCCUGUGGUUGAAUUGGGAAAAAGCUUGAAGAAGCUGAGGAGGAGGGUGACCCCAUGGGAAGACCAGUAGUCUCAACUGACUUGGAACCCAGAGAUCUCUCAGAUACUGAGUCACCAACCAGUCAACAUACACCCGCUGAUAUGAGGUCCCAGUCACAUAUACAGAAAGGACUGCCUGCUUUGGCCUCAGUGAGAGAAGAUGUUCCUAAUCCUCGAGAGACUUGAGAUCCCAGGGAGUGGGCAGCUUGCAGGAUCAACAUUCAAGCCUGGAGACUUGAGAGUUUACAUCCAUAAUCCCACAUAGACAUGAAAGGUGAGAAUGGACACCACAACGUUGUUCAUGCGUGCAAUGAUAGGUGUGCACACACAGAUUCAGCACAGCAGGGCUCUACACGCAGAUUGAUGUGUGCAUACAGAAAUGAUCCAUGAAUGGGCCAACCCAAUAAUAGAAGAGAGUUAGCUUGGAUUGCAACUCAUCACUUUAAAAAUAGAUGGUAAACAUCACUAUUGUAUUCUCUGCUGAUGAUAAUUCAUAUUUGUACAAUCUACUUGGUUUAAAUUCCAGCCCAAAUAUAUAAAUCUAAAGCUUUUACU